CAUAUCGUAUCUCGAUUCUGUAAAGUACUUUAAACCUGAUAUAGAAACUGUGAAAGGGGAAGCUCUGCGAACUUUUGUAUACCAUGAAAUACUGAUUGGGUACAUGGAUUACUGCAGGAAACGAGGUUUUACAACCUGCUAUUUAUGGGCUUGCCCCCCUAUAAAAGGUGAAGACUACAUCUUGUAUUGCCAUCCUGAAUCUCAG
rnacentral:misc_RNA from 1 species